rnacentral:rRNA from 1 species
UACGUAGGUGGCAAGCGUUGUCCGGAUUUACUGGGCGUAAAGAGCGCGCAGGCGGUCGUGCAAGUCGCGUGUGAAAGCCCCCGGCUCAACUGGGGAGGGUCACGCGAUACUGAUCGACUCGAAGGCAGGAGAGGGUAGUGGAAUUCCCAGUGUAGUGGUGAAAUACGUAGAGAUUGGGAAGAACACCAGUGGCGAAGGCGGCUAUCUGGACGGUUUCUGACACUAAGACUCGAAAGCGUGGGGAGCAAACAGG